rnacentral:rRNA from 1 species
GAUGAACGCUGGCGGCGUGCUUAACACAUGCAAGUCGAACGAUGAAGCCCAGCUUGCUGGGUGGAUUAGUGGCGAACGGGUGAGUAACACGUGAGUAACCUGCCCUUAACUCUGGGAUAAGCCUGGGAAACUGGGUCUAAUACCGGAUAGGAGCGUCCACCGCAUGGUGGGUGUUGGAAAGAUUUAUCGGUUUUGGAUGGACUCGCGGCCUAUCAGCUUGUUGGUGAGGUAAUGGCUCACCAAGGCGACGACGGGUAGCCGGCCUGAGAGGGUGACCGGCCACACUGGGACUGAGACACGGCCCAGACUCCUACGGGAGGCAGCAGUGGGGAAUAUUGCACAAUGGGCGCAAGCCUGAUGCAGCGACGCCGCGUGAGGGAUGACGGCCUUCGGGUUGUAGACCUCUUUCAGUAGGGAAGAAGCGAAAGUGACGGUACCUGCAGAAGAAGCACCGGCUAACUACGUG